rnacentral:pre_miRNA from 12 species
CUCACGUUUUUUUGCUUGCUCACAACUUUCCAAAGAAUUCUCCUUUUGGGCUUUAUAUUCUUAAUCUCAGCCCAAAGGUGAAUUUUUUGGGAUGUUUGAGCUAAAUGCUUCAGCCAUAAUU